GGCUCAGAACGAACGCUGGCGGCAUGCCUAAUACAUGCAAGUCGAACGGAGAUAGCAAUAUCUUAGUGGCGAACGGGUGCGUAACACGUGAGCAACCUGCCUUAUACAUCGGAAUAACAGCUGGAAACGGCUGCUAAUACCGGAUAAGACCACACCAAGGCAUCUUGGAGAGGUCAAAGCGAAUUAGCGGUAUAAGAUGGGCUCGCGUCCAAAUUAGCUAGUUGGUGGGGUAACGGCCCACCAAGGCAACGAUUGGUAGCCGACUUGAGAGAGUGAUCGGCCACACUGGAACUGAGACACGGUCCAGACUCCUACGGGAGGCAGCAGUAGGGAAUAUUGGGCAAUGGAAGGAAACUUACCCUUACCCAGCAAUGCCGCGUGAAUGAUGAAGGUCUUAUGGAUUAGUAAAGUUCUUUAAGUUGGGGAACGAAAAGAAAUGACGGUAACCCAAAGAAUAACGCCCCGGCUAACUAUGUGCCAGCAGCCGC
rnacentral:rRNA from 1 species